rnacentral:rRNA from 1 species
UACGGGGGGGGCAAGCGUUGUUCGGAAUUACUGGGCGUAAAGGGCGCGUAGGCGGCCUUCUAAGUCGGACGUGAAAUCCCUCGGCUUAACCGAGGAACUGCGUCUGAUACUGGAAGGCUUGAAUCCGGGAGAGGGAUGUGGAAUUCCAGGUGUAGCGGUGAAAUGCGUAGAUAUCUGGAGGAAUACCGGUGGCGAAGGCGGCAUCCUGGACCGACAUUGACGCUGAGGAGCGAAAGCCAGGGGAGCAAACGGG